AUUCUGAGGAAGUUUUAAAAUAAUUGUUUGAAUUCGAUAUAUUUAAAAAUUACUUACUAGUUAUCGAAAAAAUCCAAGAAUGUUUUACAUCACAAAUUUUCAUCAGAGAGAAAAAAUAAGCGAUCCUAUAGAAGCUAACACAGAGCGGCACUCGGAAUCGGCCCUGGCAGCACUAACAUCUCCAGACAAGAGUGCUUACCACCUGCUGCACCCAACCGCACGUCGAUUGUGGCUCCCUCUACGGAGAAAUAGCCAUUUGAUUAAAAAAAAAAAAAAAACUAUUGGUCUCUCAUCACCAUCCGAG
rnacentral:lncRNA from 1 species